rnacentral:rRNA from 1 species
AGAGUUUGAUCCUGGCUCAGGACGAACGCUGGCGGCGUGCCUAAUACAUGCAAGUCGAGCGAAUGAAGAAGAAGCUUGCUUCUUCUGAUUUAGCGGCGGACGGGUGAGUAACACGUGGGCAACCUGCCCUGUAGAUUGGGAUAACUCCGGGAAACCGGGGCUAAUACCGAAUAAUCCAUUCCCUCACAUGUGGGAAUGUU